GACGAACGCUGGCGGCGUGCUUAACACAUGCAAGUCGAACGGUGAAGCGCCUUCCUUUUUGGUGGGUGUGGAUGAGUGGCGAACGGGUGAGUAACACGUGAGUAACCUGCCCCCUUCUUCUGGAUAACCGCAUGAAAGUGUGGCUAAUACGGGAUAUUCUGGGUCUGUCGCAUGAUGGGUCUGGGAAAGAUAUUGUUUCGGUGGGGGAUGGGCUCGCGGCCUAUCAGCUUGUUGGUGGGGUGAUGGCCUACCAAGGCGGUGACGGGUAGCCGGCCUGAGAGGGUGGACGGGCACACUGGGACUGAGACACGGCCAAGACUCCUACGGGAGGCAGCAGUGGGGAAUAUUGCACAAUGGGCGCAAGCCUGAUGCAGCGACGCCGCGUGAGGGAUGGAGGCCUUCGGGUUGUGAACCUCUUUCGCCAGUGAAGCAGGCCUGCCUCGUUUGUGGGUGGGUUGACGGUAGCUGGAUAAGAAGCGCCGGCUAACUACGUG
rnacentral:rRNA from 1 species